CUUUAUUGGAGAGUUUGAUCCUGGCUCAGGAUGAACGCUGGCGGCGUGCCUAAUACAUGCAAGUCGAGCGAAUGGA
rnacentral:rRNA from 4 species